AUUUUAUUAAUUGAUAUUACCUGUAAUAUAUUCAAGGAAAUUGAUUCAGUCAUCUCAGUUUUAACCCAAUAUUCUUCUUUCCUUACUCACAAUAGACAGCUCUAUUAUUCCAGUGCUUCUCUCAUAAUUCUUUUGCAAAUGUUUUUCUGUAUAGGAAGCUCCUGGUUCUCAGUCGUUUUGCCACGAAUGAAGCCCAACAUUUCUGAGUCAGUUACUCAGGAGUUAUCACCGGAGCCUAGUGAAGAAAGGAAAAGCUUUUAUGGAACUUUAUCACAGGAUAUAACUAGUCAAGGACACAGAAAGUGCUGCGGAGGCCACCAACAGAUGACAGGGUGAGUUUUGCUUAAUUGAAGUCUUAUGUUGAAUCUUUGGUGCUGUAGGCCUAUGAAAAU
rnacentral:lncRNA from 1 species